CCACGUUGGACAAACAGUUCCCCUCUCUCCCCAAAUCUCUCUCACAUCCAAACCACUCAUCCCUCUAUUUUAAAUCUCCAAUUCAAUUUAUCUUCCCUAUUCUACACGCUCUCCGCAAGCAAGAAGAACCAAGACCCAUUCUGCUCAAUUUCAAUUCGAGAAAUCGAAACUCUCGUGUUCAAAGGACCUCCCUUUUGUGAACUCCACAACCAAGUCCUACUCACGAAGAACUUAUCGUCGGGGUGGUUUCGGGGCUGCACGACCACCGACGGAGCAGCGGCUCCCGGCGGCGGCAGCAGCCUGACCCGGCGGACCGCAGCGGCUGGCGAAGCUAUAGCAGCGCCGUUAACUCCGUCGAGCAGUAGCCGGCGGCUUUGUGCAGCGGCGUCGGAGCUACUGAUGCGGCGAAGGCUGGACAACGGCAGCGACGAAUCAGCGACGGCGACGGUGGGUACGCGACAGCAGCGGCGGCUGGCGGCGUGGAGUGAAUCGGAGAUUCAACGGUUUCUGUUUUGGGGCAUUCUCUUUAAUUGGGAGUUUUCGUUUUCAUGUGAGAAAAAUCGAAAGCGAGGGAGGUGAAAUUGGAACUUCGUUUCGUCAGUAGCUGCAAGUUGGAGAAGAAUACAGUAGAGAGAGAGAGGGAGGGAAGCCGACGUUUUGUUUAGAGAAGGAGAGUUGAUAUGUUUUGUUACUUUUGCAGUAAGGUGGAUAAAUUGUUGUUGGUGUAUGUGGGGCCAUUAGGGAGGGAGUAUACGUGUAAAAAAAGGGAUUUCUUGGGCCUGCCCUUUUGUUUUUAAAAGCUAGUUUGGCCACAUUAGUAAAUUGGAUGUUUUGUUA